GGAGCAAGAGGUGGCAGACACAGUGGACACCUGGUGAGUGAGGACGCCGUGGGAGAGGUUCCCAGAGCCCUUGGUGGUGGAAGACUACAGCUCAGAGCAGAGGUCUAGUCCAGCGGAGGGGCGAGGCGAGGAUACAGAGGAGGACAGCCUGAGUCCCUGCCACGGCCAAGGCAGUGCCUUCCGGGUGACACACAUGCUGUCCCCGCCCUGACCACGGAGGCAGCCUCCAUCUCCGCAUCCCUCCUGCUGCCUGCUCGGAGUCUGAGAAGAGACCAGCACAGCCUCUGUGCUGACAGGUCCUGACUUCGCCAUCAGGUGGCGUGUGGGCUCAGACAAGCCACUGCACCUGUGACUGUCUUCCUGCCUUGGCAGAGCACGGUAAUGGGACAGACCAGUUAGUCAAAUUUCAAACGUGCUGUGUAGACACUGUCUUUGCUCUUUUCCUCUUGAGCUUCACACGCUGCCACCUGCUCUGCCCCAGCUCUGCACACAGCGCUGGGCCCUGGUUUCCUGGGGUAAGUGAUGUCCACCCAGCCCCCUCCUGGAUGAGGACCUUCUCCCACCUGCUGGCUGCCCCUUGGCUUCCCCACUGCCAGCUUUCCAACCUCCAGCCCCUACCUGGGACCAGCAUCCCUCUAAGAGCUGCAACCCAGCAGGAGCCUUGGGGAGGUCAAGGCAUGCCAUACACUUGCCAAAAAGUAACAGUCCACAGCCAUGUGUCUGAUACUGGUUUUUCCACUUUGAAUGACUAAAGCGAUGAAGGAAUAAAUCAAGGAAGACCUGCACAGACCCCGCCCCCUCCCCGUGAACACAGCAGUAACGGUAAAUCCAGCUGGGGAGGGGGUGACCCCCGGGACCCAACUGCAUGACAAGGUUGACCUAAAAUCAAAACCACUGUCUGUCUUCUCUGCACAACCAAGAUAAGAAAACCCACUUGUGCUGCUGGAAGCCACCUCCCUCCUCCAUCGGGCCCCUGGAGGGUAAGAAGAAGGCCGCUCCCUAAAGCAUUCAUUCAACAGCCGUUUGCUAAGAGCCCACCAUGAGGCAGUCGCUAAGUGCUGAAUUGGAAUUUAUUUGCUGUAUUAAAUCUCACGAAAGAUUGGAGGACCCUGUCAGUGAAGCCUCCAGAUAGGGUUUUAUGCCUUUGCAGAAUAAAAUGUGAUUCUUCAGUGUGCUCCUGUUGGAGAAAAGGGACUAAGAUCCUGUCCGCAAGGGCAAUGGCACACAAGGAUGCGGUGUCCCAUUGGUGACAACCAGAAGGCCUGUUGCCUUUCCAAAGCCGUCUUAAUUCAGAGGUGGUUUAUGGGGAGAGGGGAGAGGGUUACAGUUACUGCUCUUGUUAAAGACCAACUUGACAUCAGGGAUUGAUUGCAUCCUCUGGGACGUCUUCAUGCAGCAGGCUGUGCUCCCCAGGCCCCAGAUCCUGUUCUCCUUCCUUUUACCCGUGCAGCCCAUCUCUAGCUCUGGCCUGUCCUCCAGCACUCCCCAGCCUCCCUGGUAGCUGGCUGCCUGCUGUGGCUUCGGGACCGAGUUCUUGCCACAGCGAUUAAGGAGAAACGAUGUCCGCAGUUCCCAUGGCUUAUCUGUCCUUCAGCUGUUAGGUUCUGAUGUCCCUGUUUCACCUGGAUGUGGCACCCAUGAAUAGCAGUGACCAUGAAGAUGAGGCUGAUGAGCUGGAGAAGGUGUCAGAGACCUGGAGUGACCCUACAGAACCAGGCCACCUGCCCGCCAUGGACCAUCUGCUACCUCUGGAUCAUCACAGAAGAGAAACGUGAACAGGUGACAUUUUGCAUGCUUCUUUGUUACAGCAGCCUACUUUUGCCCUAACUAAUACAUUCUUCCCUGCAGAAUGUUGUUAAAGUCUUAAAUUCCUUGAGUGCCUUGGAUCACAGACUCUCCUUCCUCCUGGCCCCGAUACUUACAGCUAAGUCCCCCGGCCACUUGUAUGCUCUUUUUACAUUCUAACUGCCUCAGAAGCAUUAUUUCCCAGAAAAACCUUAAAAUGCAUGCAGUAAACCCUAAAUGGCUCACUUCUGAAAACACAGUCUACCCUUGAGAAGUUCCAGUUUCCCGUGCAUCGGAACCUGUGUUCAGGUUACAGAAGCACAGCGACUUCUGUGUACAUUGGGAUGUUUUCUCGAGUGACGCCCAGAGUUCACACGGAGCCUCUGGGGUCCUCUCUAGCCCUUCUUGGGAAAAUGGCCACCAGCUCUGGGUAAGCCUUAGAGGAUGAGAGAGGUUAGCAAGCAGCAGCCUGCCCCGGGGAGACAUGGCGGGUCAUACAAGGCAGCGCUUUAGACAGGAGAAAGGUGUUGAGAAAGCAGCAAACAAUGACAGCGUGCCAGGACACCCCGAAGUCUGGGUGUCUCUGUGUGAGCAGCUGGAGAGAGAAAGGACACAUUCAGGAUGAAGAUAAAAACCAAAUCACGGGCCGUGAGAAGACACAAGGUCCCACCCUUGAUCCGGGAGCUCUCAAAGUGCACAACCUGCCACUGGAUUGGGACACAGACUACUGGUCACCAUCGCUGCUGCCCCCACUGCCACCCCUGCAGCACCAGUGCCCACCCUGCCGAGCGUGGGGCCGUGAACCAACUUUUCAGCUAUGACGCCCAGUUCACCUGGGGUGAGUCUCAAAUGCACCCACAGUCGCCCAGCCGCACCCCUCCCCGUGACCCUCACCACUCUGGCAAGGGGAAACAAGAGAUUUCAAUGCCAUGCAGACCCAGGUUCAAAUCCCAGCCCCGCUACUUCCUAGUUAGACAAAUUACUUAAUGUUUUCUCACUCUGUUUCCUUCUCUAUUCAUUGCCAACGUGAUCAUGAGGGUUCAAGAGAAGAUGGAUAUUAAAUACCUGCCCCUCUGUGAAAUUUAUUUCCUUCUGUCUUGGCAUUUGAAUUCUUAAAGCUCCUGCCUUGCUCUGAGCCCUAGGCCCACCUCCCCUGUCCCAACAGCCACCUGUUUGGACAAAGCAUGGAGUUCAAAGGAGGUCUCGUCCGCACCCCACACCUCUGUGAUGCUGCCUGCCCUCCCUCACCCCCCAGGCAUGCCCCUGUUCUGGGGAAGCCUUGAAGCUGAGGCCCAGGCCAGCACCCCUCCAGCCCCCUCCUGACUCCUCUCCCCAGACUCCAUCUUGGCCUUGCCACCAGGGCUGGAAGGAGGAACUGGCUGGGCCGGCUGACCCAGGAAGCCCCUGAGCUCCUACACACGGCAGGGUCACAGUCUUGGGUCCUGCUUUGCCUACUGUGCAGUGUGUGACUCAAAGCUGUCCGACUCUCCCUGUGUGACAACCUUACCUGUUGUUUAAGUCAGGUGGGUCCAGGGGUCCCAAACCCCUAGCAGACCUGCCCUCCUCCGAGGCUGCACUCUCACUUCCUUUGCAUUCAAGUCCUGGUUUUCUUCCAAGGGUCCCCUUGAGCCCCUCCCUUCUGGUUCAGCUGCCUCCUGGGCCUGAGCUCCAGCAUCUCUCACGGAGACAGCAAUGAUCUUACACCAGGAUUAGGGAUAAAAAAAAUGCUUUCUCGGCUCUGGAGAAGACCAGAGGGCUCGUUCCCUUGUGAACAGCAUGUCACUCAAAGCACUGUCUCCCUAAGCCAGGGAAGGGGACAGCCAGGCAGCAGGCACUCGAGGACUUCCUGCAGUCACUCUGCCAGACACUCCCAGGAGGACAGGAGCAGCUUCCUGGGUGUCGGGGUGAGCCAACCCUUUGAGGUUUACACGAGCACCCGGGCUGCCAGCACCCUUGUCACACGGCUCCCACUCCUUCGCCACUCCAUGUCUCUUGUCCCAGAGGGACGCACCUGGCCACCCUGUGGUCUCAUCGUACACUCUGAGCACUGUCACGGGAGAAAUACGCGAGCCUUACAGCAAUCCCUGAGACUGAAUCUUAAGGGGAUAAAGACACCAAGCACCAAAACCAGGGGGAGUUCAGGAGCCUUCUGCUCUGGAGCUUCUCAAAUGCUAGCGAAGGAGCCCUUCUCCAGGUAAAAUCUUAACCAUGACCCAACACAGGGUAAGAAACAGAAAACAGGGCUGCCCUGGCUGAAGUAGGGGUCUGAGCCCUCUGCCCCUUGCUCCUCCCGGGAGCCCCUCAGGUGGCUGCAGACCCCCCUCCCCCCACCUCAGCCAGGUGAUGCCCGUGCCUUCUGAUUCCCCAUGAAUCCAGAUCGUGUCAUUUGCGUUCCCCAGGGUGUUCAGGCACCAUGUAAAAGUCACUCCCCCUGUCCAACUCUGAGGGUUUAUUGAGGAGCAAACUGAGAUCCCGGAGGUGAAGCACCAUCCCAGCCCUACCUCCUGGCUCAGCCCCUCUCCACUGGACACCAGGCUGCCACAUCUGGAAGGUGCCCAUCCAGGAUCGGCCUCCCACCCACUUCGUUUCCAAGUGCCCAGGAUCAGGGAAGCGUGCAGUGGGGGUAGAGUCUGGACCUUUGACCCCCAGAGCCAAUCCCUGGGACAUGGUGGCCUGGACGCCAGGCUCAUUACAGGACAGUCAUUAGUCAUUAGUGAUGUGGAGGCUU